rnacentral:rRNA from 1 species
UUGAAAGGGAAACGAUUGAAGUCAGUCAUGCUGGUGGGAAUCAACUUAGGGGAAACUCUGGGUGCACUUCUUCGCUUGGCAGGUCAACGUCGAUUUUGAAUGUCAUAAAAUAAUUGGGGAAGGUAGCUCCUUCGGGAGUGUUAUAGCCCUUGAUAGAUGUGAUGUUUGAGGUCGAGGAUUGCAACGGAUACCCUUUGGGGCUAGCUGCCUGAUCUCUAAUUGGUGUUGGGUUACGGAUAGCAUGCUGACCGUGAUCUAAUUACUGGUUAAAAGGUUAGAGUAUGCAUAAAUUCGUUAAGGAUGUUGACGUA